UGAAUCCUGGUCUUCUUGACUUUAAGGCUAGCUCAGUAUCCAUUAUGAAAUGCUGUCUUAGUUGAAUAUUUCUACUUCUUUCAUCAUGGCAUAUGAGAAAGACUUUGGAGUUAAAAGAUCUUGGUUUGAAUCCCAACUCUGGCAGCUUACUCCCUGGAGAACCUUGAGUAUGUAACUUGGAUCCCAGUCUCCUGAGAUGUAAAAUCAGGGGGCUGGACUAGAAGGCCUCCAGGGUCCUUUAGCUUUCUGAUCUUGUGAAUUCAUCAUUCUAUGGCGUGGUCUCCAGGCCUUCUCCACCACAGAUAUCUGGGUCACCUUCUUCCAGACAGACUCCAACUUGUCAAUGUCCUUUCUGAAAUAUGGCACCUCGUCUUGAACCCAGGACUCUAGCUGUGCUAUAACCAGAGCCUGGGACAGCAAGUCUCCUCUCACCCCAUUCGGUGAGCAAUGAAAUACAAGUCGAAUCAAAUGACAUUUAUUAAAUGUUUAUCGUGUGCCAGGGAUGUUCUGGGGCUAUAAAUAUGAUUAAAAGGACAACCCCUGCCUUCAAGGAGCUUACACUUUAAUGGAGAAAGAUAGACCCUAAAAGGGAGCUGAAGAGAAGCUGGGGGAGGCAUGGGGGAGGAGGAAUAGAAGCAAAAUCUAAAGAAUGAAAGAUGGUUGUUCUGGGCCCUUCCUCAAAAGAGUUUCUAGGAGGAACUCAUCAAUGGGAGAAGGUGCUGGAAGCAGAAAGGAGCAGACAGCAGAAGCAAGGAGUCAAAGUCCAUAGAAUACAAUUCAGCAAACAGACAUUAAGGGACUGCCCUAUGUCAGCCACUGUUCUAGGCACUAAGGAUACAAAGACUAAUACAAAACUCAAGGCUCUUACUGUCUUAAGUGGGAACGGUGCAUGAAAAGUCAUACACUGAUAAAUAAAUAUAAACGGUAUGCAAAAUAAAUUAGAAGGAAGAAUUCUUAAGACUUUCUGGAAUCACAAUGGCCUAAUGUAGGAAUUAGAAAACUUGAGAAGAGCUUUGAAGGGAAUUGAGGAAUCCCACAGGCAGUAUGGACAUUCCAAUCCUAGGAAAUAGCUUGAAUAAAAGGAUAGAAGUAAGGGCAGCUGGAUGGCUCAGUGGAUGGAUAGCCAGGCCCAGAGAUAGGAGUCUUGGGUUCAAAACUGGCCUUGGACACUUCCUAGCUGUGCCACUUGACCCCCAUUGCCCCUUUCCGUUCUUCUGCCUUAGAACCAAUACACAGUAUUGAUUCUAAGAUGGAAGGUAAGGUUUUAAAAAAAUAAAAGCAUGGAGGUAGGAAAUUAUAUUCCAUGGACUCAGAAAAGCAAGUAGACCAGUUUGGCCAAAAAUCAUAGUGUGUGAGGGGGCGUAAUAUGAAAUUUGCCUGGUAGGAUACAUUGGAGGCAGAUUUUAGAGGACAAUGGAAAGAAGGCUUGCUGCUUUUAAAUUUAGAUGGCCUGGGUUCACAUCCUAGCUUUGACACUUACUAUCUGUGUGGCCUUAGACAAGUCCCAUCUCUGUGAGCCUCAGUAUUCCCAUAAGCCAACCGAGGGAGUUAGACUAAGGUCUAAGCUCUAAAUCAUUAAUGCUGUGGUCUUAAAUGCCAGAUGAAGGGGUUAACAGUUUAUCCAAGAGGCAGUAGAGAGCCACUGAAAAUUCUUGAGCAGGGUUCCUGCUUUUGCUAGACUUCUCAGAUUGCCAAUUAACAACCAGUGAUGAUGCCCUGGAGCUGAAAGUAUUACUGCAGUUUUCCACAGGGGCCUCUUUUUCUGGGAGAGCGACUAGUGUCCUAGGAGUAUCCAACUUCUGAAUAAAGAUGCUUGACAUGGUGGGAUCCAGCAGCAGCCCCUAUGGCUCUUGUGGUUCCCUGAGUCAGCUGUGGCGACAUUUCUCAUUACCUCUCAUUUCCCAUCUUUCAGCCUGUUUUCCAUCCACCUGACUGUUGAAAUUGACUUUGAUGAGGACUAAUUUUACCAGUUUGAGUUUUCUGUGACUCUUCUGCCUCUGAUGCCUUGCUGAAGCCGCCGUGACAAAUAUCACUGGCAAUUUCUUCAUCUUCUCAUUCUUAAAAGCUUUCCAGGCAUGAUUUGGUCAUUCCCACACAAUGCUUACCACCCCCCUCGACUCUGAGCCCAUCGACCCAAUUCUUCCAUCACAAUGUGUGACUGUUCAUGCUGCUCUCAUCUCCUUGACUUGGGCCAAUUUCAGCUCUUAGCAUUGGGUCAGCUAUUGUGUGACCCUCUAGGCUGAGCAUCAACUGCCAGGAUUGUUUUUUGCUUGUAUGAAAGGUACCUAGGACAGUGCUUUCCUCAGCCAGAUACCAUGCCUGAUGACCACAUGAUGGCCUGGCUUUGGCAGCUUCUACACAACCACCUGGCCAUCUCCCAGACCCCGCCUUUCAUCCCCUCCAGAGCCUCCAACAGGCUGCUGAGCACACAUCAGUACUAAUUAAAGGUGCGGCCACUAA